GCUCAGUAACACGUGGACAACCUGCCCUUGUGAGAGGGACAAACCCGGGAAACUGGGGCUAAUACCUCAUAGAUGAGAACCUCUGGAAUGAAUCUCAUCUAAAGACUACAUCCUAUUGCCGGAUGUCGUCGCUCAAGGAUGGGUCUGCGGCGGAUUAGGUAGACGUUAGGGUAAUGGCCUAACGUGCCCACAAUCCGUACCGGCUAUGAGAGUAGGUGCCGGGAGAUGGAUACUGAGACAAAGAUCCAGACCCUACGGGGUGCAGCAGGUGCGAAAAUUCCGCAAUGCGUGCAAGCGCGACGGAGUGACCCCCAGUGCCGAUGGUCUAACGAUCGUCGGCUUUUCUGGAGUGUAAAAAGCUCUGGGUAAUAAGGGCCGGGUAAGACUGGUGCCAGCCGCCGCGGUAACACCAGCGGCUCAAGUGGUAGUCGAUUUUAUUGGGUCUAAAGCGUCCGUAGCCGGAUCGUCAAGUCCCUUGUGAAAUCGGGCGGCUUAACCGCUCGGCUUGCAAGAGAAACUGACGUUCUUGGGGUCGGCAGGCGCCAAGGGUACUCCGGAGGUAGCGGUGAAAUGCUAUAAUCUUCGGGGGACCGCCGGUGGCGAAAGCGCUCGGCGGGGCCGAACCCGACGGUGAGGGACGAAGGCCAGGGGAGCGAACCGGAUUAGAUACCCGGGUAGUCCUGGCUGUAAAGUAUGUGGGCCAGGUGCCAGACGUUCCUCGAGAGCGCUUGGUGCCGAAGGGAAGCCGUUAAGCCCACCACCUGGGGAGUACGGUCGCAAGACUGAAACUUAAAGAAAUUGGCGGGGGAGCACCACAAGGGGUGGAGCCUGCGGUUUAAUUGGAUUCAACGCCGGACAUCUCACCGGGGGCGACGGCAGAGUGAAGGCCAAGUUGACGACUUUGCCGGACUCGCCGAGAGGUGGUGCAUGGCCGCCGUCAGCUCGUAUCGUGAGACGUCCUGUCAAGUCAGGUAACGAGCGAGACCCUUAUCCUUAGUUGCCAGCGGAUCCCUCUGGGAUGCCGGGCACUCUAAGGAGACCGCUGUCGAUAAGGCAGAGGAAGGAGAGGGCGACGGUAGGUCCGUAUGCCCCGAAUCCCCCGGGCAACACGCGGGCUACAAUGCGCGGGACAGAGGGCUGCGACCCCGAGAGGGGAAGCCGAUCCCUAAACCUGCGCCUAGUUCGGAUCGAGGGCUGCAACUCGCCCUCGUGAAGCUGGAAUCCCUAGUAAUCGCGUGUCACUAUCGCGCGGUGAAUACGUCCCUGCUCCUUGCACACCCC
rnacentral:rRNA from 1 species